AUCUAUAGUAGCCUAGUGGACAUGGCAUCUGCCCGGUAAGCGGAACACUGUGGGUUCGAUUCCCAUCCCUGGACA
rnacentral:tRNA from 1 species